AUCUUUUUGUUUUUAGGAAUGGCGCCAUGCUCACGGCAUGAGAUGUCUUGGUAUUCCCAACACUGCGCACUUUGCCAAUGUAACUCAGAUCGAGGAUGCUGUUUCAUUAUGGGCCAGGUUGAAGUCGCAGAAAGCAUCUGAACGAUGGCAGCCAGACACAGAGGAGGAAUAUGAGGACUCCAGCGGUAACGUAGUCAACAAAAAGACAUACGAGGACUUGAAACGACAGGGACUGCUUUGAACAGGGCCAUUGGAAAUGGAAAUUGGAAUCUCCUUAGCAUUUGUGAAGAACAUCUAAAGACAAUGUGUUUGUGAGGUGGCAUUAAAAUUGUACAUGCCAGUUUUAAAUAUUUUUAGUUUACUAUUAAAUCAUUACUGUUACCUGCCCUACCACACAGUCUUUUUUUUUUUUUUUUUUUUUUUUUUUUUAGGACCAUUGUUAAAACCCGGAUGUGUACAGCUAUCCUGAAUAAAAUUUAUUUGGAUUUUU